rnacentral:rRNA from 1 species
AUUGAACGCUGGCGGCAUGCCUUACACAUGCAAGUCGAACGGCAGCACGGGGCAACCUGGUGGCGAGUGGCGAACGGGUGAGUAAUGCAUCGGAACGUACCUUUCAGUGGGGGAUAACGUAGCGAAAGUUACGCUAAUACCGCAUAUUCUGUGAGCAGGAAAGCAGGGGAUCGCAAGACCUUGCGCUGAUUGAGCGGCCGGUGUCAGAUUAGCUAGGUGGUGAGGUAAAGGCUCACCAAGGGGACGAUCUGUAGCGGGUCUGAGAGGAUGAUCCGCCACACUGGAACUGAGACACGGGCCAGACUCUUACGGGAGGCAGCAGGGGGGAAUGUGGGACAAGGGGGGCAACCCGGAUCCAGCCAUGCGGCGUGAGGGAAGAAGGCCUUCGGGGUGUAAAGCUCUUUCGGCCGGGAAGAAAUCGCACGGGCUAAUACCCUGUGUGGAUGACGGUACCGGAAUAAGAAGCACCGGCUAACUACGUGCCAGCCGCCGCCGUAACAC